rnacentral:lncRNA from 1 species
GAAAAACGAAGAAGAAGAAAGAGUAGUAAUGGAAGAAGACGAUCAUCAAAAAGCAUCAGAUCUAGUCCACGAGCUCGUCCUCCGCCUCCUCUCCCAAAACCCCCAAACCCCCAACCCCGAUCCCACCUCCCCUACCUUCCUCAAAACCCUCCGCUUCGCCCACCGCAUAGCCGCCUCCCCCAAACCCCCCAACCCCCCAACCCCUACCCCACCUCCCCUACCUUCCUCAAAACCCUCCGCUUCGCCCACCGCAUCCUCCGCAGCCGCCUCACCCCCUCCGUCUCCCCCGACGCCUCCGCCAUCGCCGAGUCCCUCAAACGCCGCCUCGCCACCCAGGGCAAAUCCUCCGACGCC